rnacentral:rRNA from 1 species
GUGAGGAAUAUUGGUCAAUGGGCGGGAGCCUGAACCAGCCAAGUCGCGUGAAGGAAGAAGGAUCUAUGGUUCGUAAACUUCUUUUGCAGGGGAAUAAAGUGCAGGACGUGUCCUGUUUUGUAUGUACCCUGAGAAUAAGGAUCGGCUAACUCCGUGCCAGCAGCCGCGGUAAUACGGAGGAUCCGAGCGUUAUCCGGAUUUAUUGGGUUUAAAGGGUGCGUAGGUGGUUUGAUAAGUCAGCGGUGAAAGUUUGCAGCUUAACUGUAAAAAUGCCGUUGAAACUGUCGGACUUGAGUGUAAAUGAGGUAGGCGGAAUGCGUGGUGUAGCGGUGAAAUGCAUAGAUAUCACGCAGAACUCCGAUUGCGAAGGCAGCUUACUAAGCUACAACUGACACUGAAGCACGAAAGCGUGGGGAUCAAACAGGAUUAGAAACCCGGGUAGUCC